UCUCCGUUGGUGAACCGGCGGAGGGAUCAUUACCGAGUUUACAACUCCCAAACCCCUGUGAACAUACCUGUUUUGUUGCUUCGGCGGUGCCCUCGCUCUCGCGGCGAGGCCCGCCAGAGGACCCAAACAAACUCUUUGACUUUGAUCUAGGAUUAUACUUCUGAGUGAUACAAAAAAUAAAAUCAAAACUUUCAACAACGGAUCUCUUGGUUCUG
rnacentral:misc_RNA from 1 species